rnacentral:ncRNA from 22 species
CCCUCGAACCGGGAACGUGGUAAGAAUCCCUUCGCAGGAAACCUUGGCAGCGGGGGAAGUCCGGUGAGAGUCCGGCGCUGACCCGCAACGGUGUGCCACGACGCCGUCACCGGACGAGUGGCAAGCCCGAACACCCGCCGCCAUGGUCGUUUUCGUC